rnacentral:rRNA from 1 species
UGAGGAAUAUUGGUCAAUGGGCGUGAGCCUGAACCAGCCAAGUAGCGUGCAGGAAGACGGCCCUAUGGGUUGUAAACUGCUUUUAUGCGGGGAUAAAGGAGUCCACGUGUGGAUUUUUGCAGGUACCGCAUGAAUAAGGACCGGCUAAUUCCGUGCCAGCAGCCGCGGUAAUACGGAAGGUCCGGGCGUUAUCCGGAUUUAUUGGGUUUAAAGGGAGCGUAGGCCGCGUUUUAAGCGUGUUGUGAAAUGUAGACGCCCAACGUCUGCAUCGCAGCGCGAACUGGGACGCUUGAGUACGCGCAACGUUGGCGGAAUUCGUCGUGUAGCGGUGAAAUGCUUAGAUAUGACGAGGAACUCCGAUUGCGAAGGCAGCUGACGGGAGCGGCACUGACGCUUAAGCUCGAAGGUGCGGGUAUCAAACAGGAUUAGAUACCCUGGUAGUCCGCACAGUAAACGAUGGAUGCCCGCUGUGUGCCUAUUAUGGUACGCGGCUAAGCGAAAGCGUUAAGCAUCCCACCUGGGGAGUACGCCGGCAACGGUGAAACUCAAAGGAAUUGACGGGGGCCCGCACAAGCGGAGGAACAUGUGGUUUAAUUCGAUGAUACGCGAGGAACCUUACCCGGGCUUGAACUGCCGGUGCACGAUCCAGAGAUGGUGAGGCCCUUCGGGGCGCCGGUGGAGGUGCUGCAUGGUUGUCGUCAGCUCGUGCCGUGAGGUGUCGGCUUAAGUGCCAUAACGAGCGCAACCCCUCUCCGUAGUUGCCAUCAGGUAAUGCUGGGCACUCUGCGGAUACUGCCACCGCAAGGUGCGAGGAAGGUGGGGAUGACGUCAAAUCAGCACGGCCCUUACGUCCGGGGCUACACACGUGUUACAAUGGGGCAUACAGAGUGUUGGCUUAACGCAAGUUUGGUCUAAUCUUCAAAGUGUCUCCCAGUUCGGAUUGGGGUCUGCAACCCGACCCCAUGAAGCUGGAUUCGCUAGUAAUCGCGCAUCAGCCAUGGCGCGGUGAAUACGUUCCCGGGCCU